UGGCUCAGGAGGAGGUUCGAGCCUCAGUGCUGGGAACGUGGGACCCAAAUUUGAGCCCAGAAUGCUGCUGAGAAGGAGCAAUGGCGUCGUUUUGCAGAGGUAUAUCGGAAUGUUCACGUGCAAAUGCCAAGUUGAAUGAGAAAAUUCCAAAGCGUCUGCCAGAAGCUUUAGUGGGAAAAUACGUACUCAAAACUUGACAGUUACACCAGUGUCUCGGGUGUUGAUGCAGUGAAGCUGUAGAUGUCUCUGGCCAGCCGUUUUGUUUUAACGCAAUAAUGAGCAUUACCAUGUGCCCAGAAGCCACCUUGGUGGGAGUUGCCUGAGUGGAUCAAUUUCUGGCUAGUGCCAUAAUUUUUCUGUUGCAUGAAAAGCUGAUGAGAACAACCGGGAAAAUUUGAAGAAAACAACUUUGAAAAUUGGGAUUGUAUUGAUUUUUCUUUCUCUUUAUAUUGGAAAUUAGCACUACAGACCCUAGACAAAUAGUUUAUAGAUC